CAGGAAGCUGGAAAAACAGGAGAAGA
rnacentral:piRNA from 1 species